rnacentral:rRNA from 1 species
GACGGGUAGCGGGUUUGAGAGGAUGAUCCGCCACACUGGUACUGAGACACGGACCAGACUCCUACGGGAGGCAGCAGUGAGGAAUAUUGCACAAUGGGGGAAACCCUGAUGCAGCAACGCCGCGUGGAGGAUGGCGCAUUUCGGUGUGUAAACUCCUUUUAUAUGUCAAGAAAAUGACGGUAGCAUAUGAAUAAGCACCGGCUAACUCCGUGCCAGCAGCCGCGGUAAUACGGAGGGUGCAAGCGUUAUUCGGAAUCACUGGGCGUAAAGGACGCGUAGGCGGGAUGCCAAGUCUGAUGUGAAAUCCUAUGGCUUAACCAUAGAACUGCAUUGGAAACUGGUAACCUAGAGUAUGGGAGGGGGAGAUGGAAUUAGUGGUGUAGGGGUAAAAUCCGUAGAUAUCACUAGGAAUACCGAAAGCGAAGGCGAUCUCCUGGAACAAUACUGACGCUAAGGCGUGAAAGCGUGGGGAGCAAACGGGAUUAGAUACCCCGGUAGUCCACGCCCUAAACGAUGAACACUAGUCGUCGCUCUGCUAGUCAGGGCGGUGAUGCACUUAACAGAUUAAGUGUUCCGCCUGGGGAGUACGGUCGCAAGAUUAAAACUCAAAGGAAUAGACGGGGACCCGCACAAGUGGUGGAGCAUGUGGUUUAAUUCGAAAAUACGCGAAGAACCUUACCUAGCCUUGACAUUGAAGAAAUACCCUAGAGAUAGAGUAGUGCCCUUCGGGGAAUCUGAAAACAGGUGCUGCACGGCUGUCGUCAGCUCGUGUCGUGAGAUGUUGGGUUAAGUCCCGCAACGAGCGCAACCCUCGUCCUUAGUUGCCAGCAGUUCGGCUGGGCACUCUAAGGAGACUGCCUUCGCAAGGAGGAGGAAGGUGAGGACGACGUCAAGUCAUCAUGGCCCUUAUGGCUAGGGCUACACACGUGCUACAAUGGGGCGUACAGAGAGUUGCGAUACCGCGAGGUGGAGCCAAUCUCAUAAAGCGUCUCUCAGUUCGGAUUGAAGUCUGCAACUCGACUUCAUGAAGCUGGAAUCACUAGUAAUCGUAGAUCAGCAAUGCUACGGUGAAUACGUUCCCGGGUCUUGUACUCACCGCCCGUCACACCAUGGGAGUUGAUUUCACCCGAAAUUGGGAGGCUAACCUUCGGGGGGCUACCACUUACGGUGGAAUUAGCGACUGGGGUGAAGUCGGAACAAGGUAACCGUAGGAGAACCUGCGGUUG